GACGAACGCUGGCGGCGUGCCUAAUACAUGCAAGUCGAGCGAACAGGCGAGGAGCUUGCUCCUCGGACGUUAGCGGCAGACGGGUGAGUAACACGUGGAUAACCUACCUAUAAGACUGGGAUAACUUCGGGAAACCGGAGCUAAUACCGGAUAAUAUAUUGAACCGCAUGGUUGAAUGGUGAAAGACGGCUGUGCUGGCACUUAUAGAUGGAUCCACGCCGCAUUAGCUAGUUGGUAAGGUAACGGCCUACGAAGGCAACUAGGCGUAGACGACCUGAAAGAGUGAUAGGCCACACUGGAGGGUGGACGCGGACCAGACUACUACGAGAGGGAGCAGUCGGGAAUGUUCCGCAAUGGUCGGGAGCAUGACGAAGCAACGCCGCGUGAGAAAUGAAAGUGUUCGGAUCGUAAAACUCUGUUAUUGGGGAUAAACAAAUUUGGAAGUAGCUAUGCACGUCUUGACGGUACCUAGUCAGAAAGCCACGGCUAACUACGUG
rnacentral:rRNA from 1 species